rnacentral:rRNA from 1 species
GUCGAACGCUGGCGGCGUGCCUAAUACAUGCAAGUCGAACGCAGUGGGGACGGGUGAGUAACACGUGGGUAACCUCCCAUCAGAGUGGAUAACACUUGGAAACAGGUGCUAAACCGAUACUGAUGGCUGGACCCGCGGUGCAUUCGCUAGUUGGUGAGGUAACGGCUCACCAAGGCCACGAUGCAUAGUCGAGCUGGGGGGGUGAUCGGCGAUACUGCAACUGAGACGCGGCCAGGUCUCCAACGGGAGGCAGGCGUAGGGAAUCGUGGGAAAUGGACGAAAGUCUGACCGAGGCACGCCGCGUGAGUGAAGAAGGUUUUCGGAUCGAAAACCUCGAUUGUUAGAGAGGGGGGAACUAACCAAAAAGCCACGGCUAACUACGCGCCAGCAGCCGCGGUAAUAC